GUGGGAUGACGUCAAGUCAUCAUGCCCCUUAUGACCUGGGCUACACACGUGCUACAAUGGGCGGUACAACGAGUUGCGAGUCGGUGACGGCGAGCUAAUCUCUUAAAGCCAAUCUCAGUUCGGAUUGUAGGCUGCAACUCGCCUACAUGAAGUCGGAAUCGCUAGUAAUCGCGGAUCAGCACGCCGCGGUGAAUACGUUCCCGGGCCUU
rnacentral:rRNA from 1 species